GACGAACGCUGGCGGCGUGCUUAACACAUGCAAGUCGAACGGAAAGGCCCUGCUUUUGUGGGGUGCUCGAGUGGCGAACGGGUGAGUAACACGUGAGUAACCUGCCCUUGACUUUGGGAUAACUUCAGGAAACUGGGGCUAAUACCGGAUAGGAGCUCCUGCUGCAUGGUGGGGGUUGGAAAGUUUCGGCGGUUGGGGAUGGACUCGCGGCUUAUCAGCUUGUUGGUGGGGUAGUGGCUUACCAAGGCUUUGACGGGUAGCCGGCCUGAGAGGGUGACCGGCCACAUUGGGACUGCGAUACGGCCCAGACUCCUACGGGAGGCAGCAGUGGGGAAUAUGGCACAAUGGGCGGAAGCCUGAUGCAGCAACGCCGCGUGCGGGAUGGCGGCCUUCGGGUUGUAAACCGCUUUCGCCUGUGACGAAGCGUGAGUGACGGUAAUGGGUAAAGAAGCACCGGCUAACUACGUG
rnacentral:rRNA from 1 species